UGUCCAGACUCCUACGGGAGGCAGCAGUGGGGAAUAUUGGGCAAUGGGCGCAAGCCUGACCCAGCAACGCCGCGUGAAGGAAGAAGGCUUUCGGGUUGUAAACUUCUUUUCUCAGGGACGAAGCAAGUGACGGUACCUGAGGAAUAAGCCACGGCUAACUACGUGCCAGCAGCCGCGGUAAUACGUAGGGAGCAAGCGUUAUCCGGAAUUAUUGGGUGUAAAGGGUGCGUAGACGGGAUAACAAGUUGGUUGUGAAACCCCUCGGCUCAACUGAGGAACUGCAACCAAAACUAUUAUUCUUGAGUGCAGGAGAGGAAAGUGGAAUUCCUAGUGUAGCGGUGAAAUGCGUAGAUAUUAGGAAGAACACCGGUGGCGAAGGCGACUUUCUGGACUGUAACUGACGUUGAGGCACGAAAGUGUGGGGAGCAAACAGGAUUAGAUACCCGCGUA
rnacentral:rRNA from 1 species